AGACCUCAGAUCAGGAAAGACUACCNUCU
rnacentral:rRNA from 1 species